rnacentral:rRNA from 3 species
GGUUAAGUUAGAAAGGGCGCAC